CGGCCGUGCAUGUAGGCUCCCUAGUUAUUUACUUCUUGUCCGUGACUCCAUGUGGUGCAAGCGGAGAACACUUACCAGUUUCUCUCAAAUGUUUAGAACACUUUAGUGCAAGUGUUCUCUGGUGCUAUGUUUAUAGAAUAGGUUCUAAUGGGUUCUGGUGGACGGACGCGCCACUUUCAUUUAGUAGACUCGUCAGAGAAGUUUUGUACGCCGUCACUAAAGCGCCGACGUGACUUUGACGCAGCGGAGAUUCGAUCACUUCGCUGAAAAUACUCGCGAAGGUGUCAUCUGAGGCGUCUGUGACAACUGGAGUCAUGGUAUCAUCGGUACGCACCAACGCGCAACGUCAAACGCGCACAAUAGACGGCACACGCACGUCGAAAUGUGUGUAUUUACCGUCAAGCAGCCAACAUUCGGAGGUGGACUGCAUUCCUGCUGGCAGUGCACCGACGUGAUCAAGGACAAGAGAAACAUGAAAACACACCUUUUGAUUCACCUGGGCAAUCAUCUCUUCCAGUACUGCAUGUGCUCAACCACAUUUACUCGGAGUAACAUUCUCAGUGUAUUCAUAUCCGCACAAGAUCGCUCCAUCUUUUUUGUGUUCACUGUACCUAUGUGACUCAAGGACAGCAAGAACAUAAUAUUUAUCCACUUGUGACCAGCCAGAACUCUGUUGUCACUUACCUCGUUAAAAUUUGUUUUUUUUUUAUUUUUACCCACUUUUAUGGUAGCUUUGUUCAAUCAGAUUUUGUCUCAUAUGCUUAAAGAAGUGGUGCCACCAAAUUUUGAGGCUAUCCCAAGCCUGUUGUGGGUUUCCUCUGUAUGCAAGUUAAUUUCUAGAAUAUCCCGGAGAUAAAAAAUUUUUUGGUCACAGGAGAGCCUUUGAAUUUUGCAGAAUGUCGUAAGAAUGGCGGUGAUGUUGGGGAUGCCCUAUUGGAGACCUGAGUGGUUAUGCAGGUGGACUGCAUUCCUGCUGGCAGUGCACCGACGUGAUCAAGGACAAGAGAAACAUGAAAACACACCUUUGGAU